rnacentral:rRNA from 1 species
UACGUAGGGGGCAAGCGUUGUCCGGAAUCAUUGGGCGUAAAGCGCGCGUAGGCGGCUCGAUCAGUCUGCUGUAAAAGUCAAAGGCUCAACCUUUGAAUGCCGGUGGAUACUGUCGGGCUAGAGUCCGGAAGAGGCGAGUGGAAUUCCUGGUGUAGCGGUGGAAUGCGCAGAUAUCAGGAAGAACACCCGUGGCGAAGGCGGCUCUCUGGGACGGUACUGACGCUGAGACGCGAAAGCGUGGGGAGCAAACAGG